CAAUAGCGUAUAUUAAAGUUGUUGCAGUUAAAAAGCUCGUAGUUGGAUUUGUGGUGUGUCCAGUCGGCCUUUGCUCUCUGAGUGAUUGUGCUGUACUGGUCUGCCAUGUUUGGGUGGAAUCUGUGUGGCAUUAAGUUGUCGUGCAGGGGAUGCCCAUCGUUUACUGUGAAAAAAUUAGAGUGUUCAAAGCAGGCUUAUGCCGUUGAAUAUAUUAGCAUGGAAUAAUAAUAUAGGACCUUGGUACUAUUUUGUUGGUUUGCGCACUAAGGUAAUGAUUAAGAGGGACAGUUGGGGGUAUUUGUAUUCCAUUGUCAGAGGUGAAAUUCUUAGAUUUUUGGAAGACAAACUACUGCGAAAGCAUUUACCAAGGAUGUUUNCAUUA
rnacentral:rRNA from 1 species